rnacentral:rRNA from 1 species
UCCUGGCUCAGGAUGAACGCUGGCGGCGUGCUUAACACAUGCAAGUCGAACGGUGAAGCAGGAGCUUGCUCUUGUGGAUCAGUGGCGAACGCGGUGAGUAACACGUGAGCAACCUGCCCCUGACUCUGGGAUAAGCGCUGGAAACGGCGUCUAAUACUGGAUAUGUGACGUGACCGCAUGGUCUGCGUUUGGAAAGAUUUUUCGGUUGGGGAUGGGCUCGCGGCCUAUCAGCUUGUUGGUGAGGUAAUGGCUCACCAAGGCGUCGACGGGUAGCCGGCCUGAGAGGGUGACCGGCCACACUGGGACUGAGACACGGCCCAGACUCCUACGGGAGGCAGCAGUGGGGAAUAUUGCACAAUGGGCGAAAGCCUGAUGCAGCAACGCCGCGUGAGGGAUGACGGCCUUCGGGUUGUAAACCUCUUUUAGCAGGGAAGAAGCGAAAGUGACGGUACCUGCAGAAAAAGCGCCGGCUAACUACGUGCCAGCAGCCGCGGUAAUACGUAGGGCGCAAGCGUUAUCCGGAAUUAUUGGGCGUAA